rnacentral:rRNA from 1 species
UACGUAGGGUGCAAGCGUUGUCCGGAAUUAUUGGGCGUAAAGAGCUCGUAGGUGGCCUGUCGCGUCGGCUGUGAAAUCCCGGAGCUCAACUCCGGGCCUGCAGUCGAUACGGGCAGACUGGAGUUCGGCAGGGGAGACUGGAAUUCCUGGUGAGCGGUGAAAUGCGCAGAUAUCAGGAGGAACACCGGUGGCGAAGGCGGGUCUCUGGGCCGAUGACUGACGUGAGGAGCGAAAGCGUGGGGAGCGAACAGG